rnacentral:rRNA from 1 species
AGCGAACGCUGGCGGCAGGCCUAACACAUGCAAGUCGUGCGCCCCGCAAGGGGAGCGGCAGACGGGAGAGUAACGCGUGGGAACGUGCCCUUUGGUUCGGAACAACCCAGGGAAACUUGGGCUAAUACCGGAUAAGCCCUCACGGGGAAAGAUUUAUCGCCGAAGGAUCGGCCCGCGUCUGAUUAGCUAGUUGGUGGGGUAAUGGCCCACCAAGGCGACGAUCAGUAGCUGGUCUGAGAGGAUGAUCAGCCUCACUGGGACUGAGACACGGCCCAGACUCCUACGGGAGGCAGCAGUGGGGAAUAUUGGACAAUGGGCGCAGGCCUGAUCCAGCCAUGCCGCGUGGGUGAUGAAGGCCCUAGGGUUGUAAAGCCCUUUCGGCGGGGAAGAUAAUGACGGUACCCGCAGAAGAAGCCCCGGCUAACUUCGUGCCAGCCGCCGCCGUAA